rnacentral:rRNA from 1 species
UACGUAGGAUGCAAGCGUUGUCCGGAAUUACUGGGCGUAAAGGGCGUGCAGGUGGCACUACAAGUCUGAUGUAAAAUCUCCCGGCUUAACUGGGAGGGGCCAUUGGAAACUGUAGAGCUGGAGUGCAGGAGAGGCUAACGGAAUUCCCGGUGUAGUGGUGAAAUGCGUAGAUAUCGGGAGGAACACCAGUGGCGAAGGCGGUUAGCUGGCCUGUAACUGACACUGAGGCGCGAAGGCUAGGGGAGCGAACAGG